rnacentral:rRNA from 1 species
UACAGAGGGUGCGAGCGUUGUUCGGAAUUAUUGGGCGUAAAGGGAGUGUAGGCGGUUUGACAAGUCUUCUGUGAAAUCUACGGGCUUAGCCUGUAACGUGCAGAGGAAACUGUCAGGCUUGAGUGUCGGAGAGGAUAGGGGAAUACCCAGUGUAGAGGUGAAAUUCGUAGAGAUUGGGUGGAACACCAGUGGCGAAGGCGCCUCACUGGACGACUGUUGACGCUGAGGUGCGAAAGCGUGGGGAGCAAACAGG